GAUGAAGAACGCAGCGAAGUGCGAUAAGUAGUGUGAAUUGCAGAAUUCAGUGAAUCAUCGAAUCUUUGAACGCACAUUGCGCCCCUUGGUAUUCCAUGGGGCAUGCCUGUUCGAGCGUCAUUUGUACCUUCAAGCUUUGCUUGGUGUUGGGUGUUUGUCCCGAGGGACUCGCCUUAAAGUAAUUGGCAGCCAGUGUUUGGUUUUGAAGCGCAGCACAAGUCGCGAUUCAAGGCUACACGCCCGCUUCCACAAGCCUUUUUUCACUUUUGACCUCGGAUCAGGUAGGGAUACCCGCUGAACUUAAGCAUAUCAAUAAGCGGAGGA
rnacentral:misc_RNA from 1 species